rnacentral:rRNA from 1 species
AUUGAACGCUGGCGGCAGGCCUAACACAUGCAAGUCGAACGAGUGGCGGACGGGUGAGUGAUGUCUGGGCAACUGCCUGAUGGAGGGGGAUAAAUACUGGAAACGGUAGCUAAUACCGCAUACGAUGGGAUGUGCCCAGAUGGGAUUAGCUAGUAGGUGGGGUAAAGGCUCACCUAGGCGACGAUCCCUAGCUGGUCUGAGAGGAUGACCAGCCACACUGGAACUGAGACACGGUCCAGACUCCUACGGGAGGCAGCAGUGGGGAAUAUUGCACAAUGGGCGAAAGCCUGAUACAGCAAUGCCGCGUGUAUGAAGAAGGCCUUCGGGUUGUAAAGUACUGUCAGCGGGGAAGCGUUACCCGCAGAGAAAGCACCGGCUAACUCCGUGCCAGCAGCCGCGGUAAUUC